rnacentral:rRNA from 1 species
AUGGCGACUGAACAGCUCAACGUGUUGAAAGCACUCGACGUCGCCAAGACGCAACUGUACCAUUUCAAGGCGGUCGUGAUCGCCGGCAUGGGCUUCUUCACGGACGCCUACGACCUCUUCUGCAUCGCCCUCGUCACCAAGCUGCUGGGGCGCAUCUACUACACCGACCCUGCCCUCAACGAGCCCGGCCACCUCCCCGCCAACGUGUCGGCCGCCGUGAACGGCGUGGCCCUAUGCGGCACACUUGCCGGCCAGCUCUUCUUCGGCUGGCUUGGCGACAAGCUCGGUCGCAAGAGCGUCUACGGCUUCACGCUCAUCCUCAUGGUCCUCUGCUCCAUCGCGUCCGGGCUCUCGUUUGGACACGAGGCCAAGGGCGUAAUGGGGACGCUAUGUUUCUUCCGCUUCUGGCUCGGCUUCGGCGUCGGCGGCGACUACCCUCUGAGCGCCACCAUCAUGUCGGAGUAUGCUAACAAGAAGACCCGCGGCACCUUUAUCGCCGCCGUGUUUGCCAUGCAGGGGUUUGGCAUCCUAUUUGGUACUAUCGUCACGAUCGUCGUCUCGUCCGCAUUCCGACAUGCAUUCCCUGCACCGCCAUUCUACAUUGACGCCGCGGCAUCCAUUGGCCCGGAGGCCGACUACGUGUGGCGCAUCAUCGUCAUGUUCGGAACAAUCCCGGCCGCCUUGACCUACUAUUGGCGCAUGAAGAUGCCCGAAACUGCACGGUACACAGCACUCAUCGCCGGCAACACGAAGCAAGCUACAUCAGACAUGUCCAAGGUGCUCAACAAGGAGAUAUCAGAGGAGGAUGUUCAGGGUGAGCGGGCCACCGGCGAUACCUGGGGCCUCUUCUCCCGACAGUUCUUGAAGCGCCACGGGGUGCACUUGCUAGCGACCACAAGCACUUGGUUCCUGCUUGAUGUGGCCUUCUACAGCCAGAACCUGUUCCAGAAGGACAUCUUCAGCAAGAUCGGGUGGAUCCCGCCGGCCAAGACUAUGAAUGCAUUGGAGGAGUUGUACCGCAUCGCCCGUGCCCAAGCGCUCAUCGCGCUCUGCGGCACCGUGCCUGGCUACUGGUUCACCGUCGCCUUCAUCGACAUCAUCGGAAGGUUCUGGAUCCAGCUCAUGGGAUUCACCAUGAUGACCAUUUUCAUGCUAGCAAUCGCCAUACCGUACGAUUACUUGGUGAAGCCAGGACACCACACUGGUUUCGUCGUGCUCUACGGGCUCACUUUCUUCUUCGCCAACUUUGGACCCAACAGCACAACCUUCAUCGUGCCAGCCGAGAUUUUCCCUGCGAGGCUCCGGUCCACAUGUCAUGGUAUCUCUGCCGCUACCGGUAAGGCAGGCGCGAUCAUCGGCGCGUUCGGGUUCCUAUAUGCGUCGCAGGACCAGAAGAAGCCCGAGACCGGCUACUCACGGGGAAUCGGCAUGCGCAACGCACUCUUCGUGCUCGCAGGCACAAACUUCCUGGGCCUGCUCUUUUCCCUGCUGGUGCCGGAGUCCAAGGGCAAGUCGCUCGAGGAGCUUUCAAAGGAGAACGUUGGCGACGACGACGCCAUUGCCCCGGGUGGUGUCUAG